rnacentral:rRNA from 1 species
UACGGAGGGGGCUAGCGUUGUUCGGAAUUACUGGGCGUAAAGCGCGUGUAGGCUGCUCUGCAAGUCGGGUGUGAAAGCCCUGGGCUCAACCUAGGAAGUGCACUCGAAACUGCAGAGCUGGAGUCCUGGAGAGGAAGGCGGAAUUCUCGGUGUAGAGGUGAAAUUCGUAGAUAUCGAGAGGAACACCGGUGGCGAAGGCGGCCUUCUGGACAGUGACUGACGCUGAGACGCGAAAGCGUGGGGAGCAAACAGG